UACGGUAGGGACCAAGCGUUGUUCGGAUUACUGGGCGUAAAGGGCGCGUAGGCGGCAUGAACAAGUCACUUAGUGAAAUCUCCGGGCUUAACUCGGAACUGGCCAAGUGAUACUGUCACGCUAGAGUGCAGAAAGGGCAAGUACGGAAUUCUUGGUGUAGCGGUGAAAUGCGUAGAUAUCAAGAGGAACACCUGAGGCGAAGGCGGGUUGCUAGCCUGACACUGACGCUGAGUGCGCGAAAGCCAGGGGAGCAAACGGG
rnacentral:rRNA from 1 species